UCCGGUUUGACACCGGCAGUCUCCCUAGAGUUCCCGGCUUAACCCGCUGGUAACUAGGGACGAGGGUUGCGCUCGUUGCGGGACUUAACCCAACAUCUCACGACACGAGCUGACAACAGCCAUGCAGCACCUGUCUCUAGGCUCCCUUGCGGGCACCCUCUCAUCUCUGAAAGGUUCCUAGGAUGUCAAGACCAGGUAAGGUUCUGCGCGUUGCGUCGAAUUAAACCACAUGCUCCACCGCUUGUGCGGGCCCCCGACAAUUCCUUUGAGUUUUAGCCUUGCGGCCGUACUUCCCAGGCGGAGAACUUAAUGCGUUAGCUACGGCACCGCAGGGGUCAACACCCGCGACACCUAGUUCUCAUCGUUUACGGCGUGGACUAC
rnacentral:misc_RNA from 1 species